UUCUGCGAAGGGGUCUGGGAAGUCGGGGCUUUCAGAAGCUGUAAGCUUCGUUGCAGCCCUCUUGCGCCUCUUAUCUACGGGUUUCAUCUUUCCAACUCUGCCGUUGGGUUCUGCACUAGCUUCCAUACUUGGAGACUGAGGAGGACAGGAACGUAGUGAAAGGAAGGAAACUAGAACUGAGACUGGUCGUGACUGAGAGACCUUUCUCUGAGAGACGGACUCUUAACUCUGUAGUAGUAUCUUGGCCUCUAACCUGCUCUUAACCCAUCCUUUUUUUUUCCUCGCUAGUCUUCUCCCCAUACUCUCACUUUCUCUCUGGUCUUAAUGAAAGGAAAUAUGGCAAGAUGAGCUAUGCAGAAAGGUGCUACAUAACGUGAUGUGUGAACCAGAAAGAACUGAAAAACAGUGAUAUCAGAAAGCCAUCUGCAAGAACACGUGCAUAAACUUUGAUUCUGUCUGUACUUAAUUUCUGUCCUACAAUAUAGCAGAAAGAAGUUCUUCAGAGCUUGCAAAAAUCAUCUGCCCUUAGGGGGUGGUUGCCACCUGUCCAGAUAAUCCCACUACAUAGUGAGGAGAUGAGGAAACUGAGGCCAGAAAGAUAAACUAACAGAACAUGCCAGAAGAGAAAUGCCAGAGUCAUGACAGCCAGGCACAUUGAGAUGAAAAUAGGAGGACUUGGUUUCACAUUCUGUGUCUACAAGUGCAGGAGCCACUUAGCGGUAUUUGCUGAGCUCUGAGUACUCAAAAGGUGAAGACAUCAACACAACCAGGAAGGUCGCAAGCUGGUUGAGUGGGAAUACAACCACGACCCAUCACAAAAUACAAAUAUACUGAGAUAUAUAUCUACAGGAAGGCAAAUUUAAUGCUGCCUGGAGGUAGGCCGAAGAACACAAUAGCCAUCCUUUGAGCUAUUCUUCUCCCCAUUUCUGAUUAUUAUUUUAGCAAAUGCUUACAUAUCUACAUGUAUCUAUCAGACUGUCUCUUAGAAAAGGAGAACUCAAGACUUUAAAUUAAAGGUAUGAGAAGAUCUGCUUCAGUGGGGACACUGCAGCCCAAAUCGGUGAUGAUUUCCCUAGGAACAAACCAAGUACCGAAGGCCUUCUAAUUGCCAGACGGUCAGGUAGUCCUAGGUACCAGGAUGGCACUUAGCCAGACCUCUGAAGCGAUCC